UGGACUCAAUGUGAUCUUGGAUCACUAAAAGUAAAAUGUAGACUCUUGAGCUUUUGAGCUUAAGCAAAUCCUUUGUCCUUAGCAUCUUGAAAAGGUUCCAUAUCCUCUUGUCCACGCCACUCCAUUUGUUGAACUUGUCUGAAAUAUACUAGAUGAAAAACAUUAGUCCAACAAGAGAUAUGUUGACAUUAAUUACCAAAACCACUCAGGGAGCACUUGUGCUUUCACUAUCCAAGGUAACUAUUUUGAAACCAUUGUCUACGAAUAUAAUUCUGAAGUUCAAUAACCUAAGUGAAUUUUGUAUGAAUUGAAUGCUAUUGUGUGAGUCCCCGCAGAAAAAAGAGCAUCCGUGUCAUUAAAUUCCUUGUCGAGAGGAUCAAUUAGCAUCUAGAGAAAACCUUCGAGUCGUGUAAAUUCUGCAACUAGUUGUGCAGGUAGACUUGUAUUUUCCAUGACUGUAGAAGCAUGCGGGCAAGUAAACAUAGUAGUUAUGUGAAAGUGUUGUCUGUUUCAUGUGCAUGUUUGAUCUAGAAGUUCAAAUUUUAAUUUGAGAUUUCUUGACAAGAUAUAAUAAAUACUAUUCCAUUGUGUAGAUAGAGAAGUUCAAUAUAAAGAUGAUGGUUCAGUUCAGGAAAAUAUAUGUUUCCCAAAAUAAGUUCAGCGAUUAUUCAGUGCUUGAUGUUCAGGGAUGGUUUGAUGCUUGAUGUUCGGGGGUGUCCAGAACUACACUCGGUAGCACAUAUACGGUGGCUCAAGCGCUCGCCGCCCCCAUCUCUGACCAGAUCCAUCCUGGCUCCCCUGGUAGCCAACACGGCUUGUGCGCUGGUGUUAGUGUGCGUGGGCAGCAAAUUCAACUACCAAUCCACACCAAAGUUCAUGUAUGUUGCCUGUUUCCCACACAUUCCUAGGAAAAUAUACUUCUUAGCAUGCGGUUGUCCUAUGAUUGGAAAAGCUGGCAGCAGCACACGCCUGUUCCUACAUGGAUCUAUGAACUAUGAUCGAUCUAACUAACUUGUUCUAGUGUUGUAUAUAUAAACACUGAAUCUUAGAUGUGGACAGUAUCAUUGUUGGUAAUCAAUGUCGUUGUGGCGUUUUUACUCGUGAAAACUCUGGAUGUUAGAUAGCAUCAAUUUUAGGGAUCAAAGAUGAUGUGGUGCCCAUGUAGCAUUUUCUUUAACUUGCGAGACUUUAAUUGCUAGGAUCACCGUGCUGCACAUGGGCUGCCAUCUCUGGUUUUCGUUUUCCUUAACACUCGGUGAGGGAAAUGAUUGUUCAACUUCAAAUCUGUUUGGACUGAUGUUCAAGUUCUUUCGUAUAGAAGGUUCAGAAAGUUUUGUUCCUGAAAAAGCACAUAUUUGAAGUACACCAUUGUUAUGUAUUUCUGAAUUUUCCUCGUGUAGCAGUUCAACAUGUAGUAUGCCAUCAAUUCAUAAUGAAAAGGAAGGAAACAAUUCAAUAAUUGUGUGUUUAAAACAUAACAGAAACUUCCAUAGUAGUUUGAUGGAAUAAAUCGCAUCAGUUCUGACCUGGAUUCGUUCUUGCCUACAAUGCAUUGAAAAAUAAUUAUGUGUUAGCUAGAUCAGUACUAGUGCUCACCAGUACGACAAGUAGCAGUACUUAUCAGUACGACUUACACAAUACUAUUACUGAUCAGUACUAUUCUUAAUGUUAAAAGUAACAUCCAUAUAGGGAAAAAUGCUUGUAUUCUAACACACAAUUUUUUGGAAAAAAGAGCACUAGUACUGAUGAGUCGUACUGACAAGGAUGCCAUCUACAAUUCUGAAAUUAUUGUUGAGUCAUACUAGUACUAUUACUGAUGAAAAUGGGAAGCAAGUGUCGCAUGAAUCCUCAAUUGAAUGGGAAGCAAGGUGAUCCUCGCUCCUUCAACUCCACUUCGCCGGUGCCACAGUCUGUGGGAGUAGGGGCGGCGUGCCCGUCAACAAACAAGAACAUAAGGGAGCAAUUGGCGCCGAAUGGGCCCCUAGGAGCUAGUCCAACCCGCUCGCAGACUGGAGGGCAUGCCGGUUUAUUUCCAACGAAAUCCUAUGUACAAUCAGUCUGUUCGUUUGAUAAAUAAAGGAGACAACAUAGAAGUUAUGGUUGAAGCAAGUCCCUACGUCCAGUUAUGUCCGAUUUUUGUGAUAGUAUUUAAAAAAUGAGGCAUAUAUUGUAUAAACUUUUCUGGACUUGUGCCCAGGCUGCUUCUGAACAACUCCAAUGCUUUAUUGGCCUCAGUACUACUGUUUGGUACCAUUAGGUACCAAACUUUGAACUAAGAACUCUAUGAACUCCUGGACAUGUUCA